rnacentral:rRNA from 1 species
UACAGAGGUCUCAAGCGUUGUUCGGAUUCAUUGGGCGUAAAGGGUGCGUAGGUGGCGGGGUUAGUCAGGUGUGAAAUCUCGGGGCUCAACCCCGAAACUGCACUUGAUACUGCCUUGCUAGAGUACUGGAGAGGAGAUUGGAAUUUACGGUGUAGCAGUGAAAUGCGUAGAUAUCGUAAGGAAGACCAGUGGCGAAGGCGAGUCUCUGGACAGUUACUGACACUGAGGCACGAAGGCCAGGGGAGCAAACGGG